CAGCUGCUGGCUUCCCCAAGGACAUCUGCUUAAGAAGGACAGAAUUGUAUUUUACACAUAACACACAGCUUGUGUCUUUCACCGCGACCGGGAUUGUGUGGUCAUCGAGGACCCCGGGGACGCCCUGGUGUAGGUCUUCCUGUUCUCCGCGAUAAAAUAUGCCAUCAGGCUUUGUGGUUCACAGGACUGUGGAGGAAGCAGAACCGCGCCAAACCCGGUGAAAUGUACAUUAACCCAAGCCAGGCUUCUAACUUAUAUCUUUAAAAGGCGAAGAGGUCGCCCUGCCUGUUGGCUUCAUCUGGGAGGUUACAAUUGUCUGGAGGAGGAGGUGACCCCAGCCUAUUGAUUGGGAUGCUGCCUUGCAUCAGACUCCCGAGGGAUGUGGAAGACAGAGAGCAGCAAACAUCUCAAACUUGUGGGAGCCGGUUUAUUUCAUCAGAUCGCAGGGACCCAGCUAAAACCCCCAAUAACAGGAUGAGAAGGAUAUACGUUUGACUGGAGCCCGCUGCUGCCAGGUCCAGAGUGUGGCUGAGGAGACAGGUUCAGCCCAGAGCUGGGGAGGAUCACGUCCCCUCAGAAGAACACAACCUGCCACACAAUUAUCCCCCCGCAGUGUCUCCCCUCUCAGCCUGCUUCUGCCCGCGUCACUCGGUCCAGAGUCCUGACCGCGUCAAAUCAAUGUCACAUUUAAAUGUUAAUAGAAUCCUAAAUUAUUCACCAUGCGGUUCGGCCGUUUGUGACAUGUCCUCUGUCUCCGAAUGAUUCGAUAUGAAUGUUUCAGGGAUGGGAGGCUUCCCGAGCUCCGCGGAACGGGGAAUGUUUGGAACACGGAAUAUGAGUCUAAAUUGUCUAUCGGAGCAUCAGUGUUAGGUUAUAUGAUGUAAUACUUUGUUUUUAUCAAUAAAUAAUCAUCUAUUGGGAGUUCUUGUUGACUCUGACUGACUAUAUGGCAUUUCCAAGAAAUGUCAAGGUGUAAUACAUUAAAAGCUUUAAACAAGCUCGAAGCUUAAAACAUCCUGGACAUACCGUAGACAAUUUUGUGCG
ensembl:lncRNA